rnacentral:rRNA from 1 species
GAUGAACGCUGGCGGCGUGCCUAACACAUGCAAGUCGAACGAAGCGAUCAAGAUGAAGUUUUCGGAUGAAUUCGAGAUUGACUGAGUGGCGGACGGGUGAGUAACGCGUGGGUAACCUGCCUCAUACAGGGGGAUAACAGUUAGAAAUGACUGCUAAUACCGCAUAAGCGCACAGUACCGCAUGGUACCGUGUGAAAAACUCCGGUGGUAAUGAGAUGGACCUGCGUCUGAUUAGCUAGUUGGUGAGGUAACGGCCCACCAAGGCGACGAUCAGUAGCGACCUGACGAGGGUGAACGGCCACAUUGGGACUGAGACACGGCCCAAACUCCUACGGGAGCAG